CAUCCUACGGGGGGCAGCAGUGGGGGAUAUUGCACAAUGGGGGCAACCCUGAUGCAGCGACGCCGCGUGAGAGAUGGAGUACUUCGGUAUGUAAAGCUCUGUCAGCAGGGAAGAAAUGACGGUACCUGAGUAAGAAGCACCGGCUAAAUACGUGCCAGCAGCCGCGGUAAUACGUAUGGUGCAAGCGUUAUCCGGAUUUACUGGGUGUAAAGGGAGCGCAGGCGGCACGGCAAGCCUGAUGUGAAAGCCCGCGGCCCAACCGCGGGACUGCAUUGGGAACUACCGGGCUGGAGUGCCGGAGAGGG
rnacentral:rRNA from 1 species